CUAUCAGCGCCCGGGUAUUACGAGCUUAAGCUUAAAACCCAAAGGACUUGACGGUGUCCCACCCACCUAGAGGAGCCUGUUCUAUAAUCGAUACUCCCCGCUUCACCUCACCAUUUUUAGCCUCUCAGCCUGUAUACCUCCGUCGCAAGCUUACCAUGUGAACGCUCUUAGUAAGCCCAAAGGUUCUCCACCAACACGUCAGGUCAAGGUGCAGCUCAUGAAAUGGGAAGCAAUGGGCUACAAUUUCUAAUGCAGAACAAACGAAAGACUACAUGAAACACAGUCAUGAAGGCGGAUUUAGUAGUAAAAAGAAAAUAGUGUGUUCUUUUUAACUAGGCACUGGGACGCGUACACACCGCCCGUCACCCUCUUCGAUAGCCUAACAACUAGUUUUUAACUUUACUAAGCGUUUUAGAAGAGGUAAGUCGUAACAUGGUAAGUGUACUGGAAAGUGCACUUGGAAUAA
rnacentral:rRNA from 1 species